rnacentral:rRNA from 1 species
CUACGGGCGGCACCAGUGGGGAAUAUUGCACAAUGGGCGAAAGCCUGAUGCAGCAACGCCGCGUGAGGGACGACGGCCUUCGGGUUGUAAACCUCUUUUAGCAGGGAAGAAGCGAAAGUGACGGUACCUGCAGAAAAAGCACCGGCUAACUACGUGCCAGCAGCCGGGGUAAUACGUAGGGUGCAAGCGUUGUCCGGAAUUAUUGGGCGUAAAGAGCUCGUAGGCGGUUUGUCGCGUCUGCUGUGAAAAUCCGAGGCUCAACCUCGGACCUGCAGUGGGUACGGGCAAACUAGAGUGCGGUAGGGGAGAGUGGAAUUCCUGGUGUAGCGGUGGAAUGCGCAGAUAUCAGGAGGAACACCAAUGGCGAAGGCAGAUCUCUGGGCCGUAACUGACGCUGAGGAGCGAAAGCGUGGGGAGCGAACAGGAUUAGAUACCCGCGUAGUC